GCCUACAGCCAUGCCACCCUGAACAUGCCCGAUCUCAUCUGAUCUCGGAAGCUAAGAAGGGUCGGGCCUGGUUAGUACUUGGAUGAGAGGACACCUGGGAAGACCAGGUGCUGUAGGUG
rfam:Pteropus alecto contig36079, whole genome shotgun sequence.